GCUAAUGUAGCUCCAAUGGUAGAGCGGCUGAUUUGUAAUCAGCAUGUUAAGGGUUCGAAUCCCUUCAUUAGCUCCA
rnacentral:tRNA from 1 species